UACGGAGGGGGCUAGCGUUGUUCGGAAUUACUGGGCGUAAAGCGCACGUAGGCGGUUUUGUAAGUCGGAUGUGAAAGCCCUGGGCUUAACCUGGGAAUGGCACCCGAAACUGCAGAUCUUGAAUGCUUGAGAGGUUGGUAGAAUUCCUGGUGUAGGAGUGAAAUCCGUAGAGAUCAGGAGGAAUAUCGGUGGCGAAGGCGACCAACUGGCGAUGCAUUGACGCUGAGGUGCGAAAGCGUGGGGAGCGAACAGG
rnacentral:rRNA from 1 species